rnacentral:misc_RNA from 1 species
UUUCCGUAGGUGAACCUGCGGAAGGAUCAUUAAAAAAUGGGACUCCUUUAUGAGUUCAUUAAUAAUCCUACCCUUUGUGAAUUUGUUGUUUGAAAUAAUUUUUUUCCAAAAAAAAAUUAUUGAAUGUCUUUCCCUGUUUUGAUGGAGCUGUAAUAAGCAAACCAUCAGGGGAAUGGCAAACGAUAAUUAUUUUCGAAAAAGACCUUUUUUUAAAUUAAACUUUCUGUAUUCAUUUGUCUAAAAUUAUUUUUAUAAUAUAAAAACAACUUUUGACAAUGGAUCUCUUGGUUCUCGCAACGAUGAAGAACGCAGCAAAAUGCGAUAAGUAGUGUGAAUUGCAGAAUACGUGAAUCAUCGAAUCUUCGAACGCAUAUUGCACUUUUUUGGUUUACCAAAAAAGUAUGUCUGUUUGAGUAUCAGUAAAAUAUUCUCAUAAAAACUAUUUGUUUUUAUGGUUAUGAGUGUUUUACAACGAUAAACAAGUUGUUUCACUUUAAAUUCUUUGUCAUUAAAAAAUCAUUAAAAACUGAUUUUAUUUUUAAAAUUGGAUAAAAUUUUCCCGUAAAAAGGAAUAACCUAAACAAUUUUAAUUUAAAAUUGGUUUGAUUUUUCUUUAAGACUAAAGGAAAAAAAGUAAAAAUUAACUUGAUCUCAAAUCAGAUAAGAGUACCCGCUGAACUUAAGCGUAUCAAUAAGCGGAGGAAAAGAAACUAUCUAGGAUUCCCUCAGUAACGGCGAGUGAAGCGGGAAGAGCUCAAAUUUGAAAUCUUCAAGGUUUACCUUGACGAAUUGUAGUUUAAAGAAGUGUUUUCUGUUGGAAUUUUGGUAAAAGUUCUUUGGAAAAAGACAUCAAAGAGGGUGAGAAUCCCGUAUUUGACCAUUAUUUCCAACUUUGUGAUACACUUUCAAAGAGUCGGAUUGUUUGGGAUGCAGUCCAAAAUGGGUGGUAAAUUUCAUCUAAAGCUAAAUAUUGGCGAGAGACCGAUAGCGAACAAGUACCGUGAGGGAAAGAUGAAAAGAACUUUGGAAAGAGAGUUAAACAGUACGUGAAAUUGUCAAAAGGGAAGCGUUUGACACCAGUGUUGUUUUCUCGAAAAUCAAUUAAAAAAGAUGGGAUUUUGUGUUGUAUUGACUUUAUCAGCUUUCUGCACUUUUUUCUAACUUUUUUAAUGCACUUUUCGUUUAACAAGUCAACAUCAAUUUCUUUUGUUGUAAAAGAGUCAUUGGAAGGUGGCUUCCUUUUCGGAGAAAGUGUUUAUAGCCUUUGGCUUCUGCAAUCGGAGAGAUUGAGGUCUGCAGCGUAGAUCCUUCGGGGUUAGAUACAUUUGUGCUAAGUUAUAGCCUUUCAUAGACAACUUGUUGACUAUGAUCAGUCAUGUAGCUUACUCGCUUAUGCUAUUUUACCUACGCUUAGGAUGUUG